CCUUCAGCUUGUUCAGAGCAAUGAAGUAGGUGGUAGUUACCACAUGGAGAAGGAGGGCCUUAAACGCUGCCUGGAUCUACUGGAUUCAAACGGUUUGGUGAUGGACUACAUUGUCACCGACCGUCAUCCACAGAUCCAGAAGUAUCUGAGGGAGCGCAGCAUCACCCACUUCUAUGAUGUGUGGCACUUUGAGAAAGGUUUGUCAAAGAAACUUGACAAAGUUGCG